GUUCACAUACACGUCAUUCAUUCAUUAUUGAUAAACGUGCACACAUGCACACAAAACUUGGGGUAUGCAGCUUGACGUCAUGCACAGCUUUCCCCACAAUAAUAGUGGAAGGAGGGCUGCUAACAGCAGCUAUCCCAAAGGUCCAUGAUGAGGCCCCACACAUGUUCAGCACAGACUGCCGCUAUUAUCACAUUCUGCAGCUGCCAGAUCUGAGAUACACAAUGGCGGAUCGUGGAGCCUCUCAAUCGUUCUCCGG